GAUGAACGCUGGCGGCGUGCCUAAUACAUGCAAGUCGAGCGAACAGAUAAGGAGCUUGCUCCUUUGACGUUAGCGGCGGACGGGUGAGUAACACGUGGAUAACCUACCUAUAAGACUGGGAUAACUUCGGGAAACCGGAGCUAAUACCGGUUAACAUAUUGAACCGCAUGGUUCAAUAGUGAAAGGCGGCUUUGCUGUCACUUAUAGAUGGAUCCGCGCCGUAUUAGCUAGUUGGUAAGGUAACGGCUUACCAAGGCAACGAUACGUAGCCGACCUGAGAGGGUGAUCGGCCACACUGGAACUGAGACCCGGUCCAGACUCCUACGGGAGGCAGGAGUAGGGAAUCUUCCGCAAUGGGCGAAAGCCUGACGGAGCAACGCCGCGUGAGUGAUGAAGGUCUUCGGAUCGUAAAACUCUGUUAUCAGGGAAGAACAAAUGUGUAAGUAACUGUGCACAUCUUGACGGUACCUGAUCAGAAAGCCACGGCUAACUACGUG
rnacentral:rRNA from 1 species